rnacentral:rRNA from 1 species
AUUGAACGCUGGCGGCAUGCUUUACACAUGCAAGUCGAACGGUAACAGGGAGCUUGCUCCGCUGACGAGUGGCGAACGGGUGAGUAAUGCAUCGGAACGUGCCGUGUAGUGGGGGAUAACGUAGCGAAAGUUACGCUAAUACCGCAUACGCCCCGAGGGGGAAAGUGGGGGGACCGCAAGGCCUCACGCUAUACGAGCGGCCGAUGUCGGAUUAGCUAGUUGGUAGGGUAAAGGCCUACCAAGGCGACGAUCCGUAGCGGGUCUGAGAGGAUGAUCCGCCACACUGGGACUGAGACACGGCCCAGACUCCUACGGGAGGCAGCAGUGGGGAAUUUUGGACAAUGGGCGCAAGCCUGAUCCAGCCAUGCCGCGUGAGUGAAGAAGGCCUU